rnacentral:lncRNA from 1 species
UAAAUUAUUGUAUGAGUACCUUGAGUAUAUAAUGUGACCAGUAGGUUAUGUAACUGGACCAGUUUGGACUGAUGGGUAGCAGGCCCAGCCUUUGGGGACUGAGCACUCAAUAAAGUGGGCUGUUGUGCAGGAACAUUGGUUUAGUCACACUUCAGCCAAGAGGAAACAGCCUCAAUGCGGCCACCAUGACAGCAAGAAAGGAAUAACAGGCUGCUGCUUUUAGGAGAAGAAAAGGGAUCACCUUGUUCAUCUCAGUGCUGCCAGAGGAGGAAGGAGGGAGGGCAGUGCCUACGGCUGUGCGUGCCCCACACACCAAACGCUCCACGACUGUGACGUUCAGUGAGGACACACAGGGAAUGGAGAAGCUGGGGCCAGCCCUCCUCUGCCUCAAGGCUACAAGCUCAUGCCUUCCUGUUCCCAAAGGCUUAUUCCAACCACCAGGUACUGAAGCUGCAAUUACUUACCCAAAGUCUGUCUAAAAACUGGUGCAAAGUGCAAAGAACGCUUUGAUGGGAAAUUCAAGGAGCACAAUGACAAUCUACUAGCACUGCAAGUAAAAUACACAACUGAGAAGAUGGCCCUCCACUUUCCACACUCUCUUCCAUGGCCUCUUUCUUCAUUUUACAUGAAAAUGACCAUGGAUGAAGCAUUAAAAUUGU